CAGCUUGCCCAUUUCAGUGAUGAUCUCUCUCUGUGCAGCAUCUAUCACUCCACUGCACAGUAAUUUGCCUCCAGCUGGCAUUGCAGUGCAGCAACAGGAAUAUACACAUGCAUCAGUUCUUUGCUGAACAGGGAUUGAGCCAAGACCAAACUCCCAUAAAUGGGAGUUUUUCUGUCCAGUUCCUCUUGCCAGCACCAAGACAGCCCUGCUUCAAUUUGUUACAAUAUAUUUGGCCGCUUUCAUUCCCCUGGUGCCUCCAGUAGACACAGAAAUAGGAAAUAACUGAUUAGAAAGCACCAUGGAGAAGAGCCCUUCUUUACGCUGGGAUGCAAUAAUCUACAGGAUCAUUGCUUCUGUUGGAGAGCUUCUGAGACUUUCAUUUGGCCCACACAUCUUCAGUAGCUGAUCAUUUCCUUUACACAAACUACUGGCAUGAAACAAAGUGUGGCACUGACCUCAGUGCUGUAACAUUACUUAAGUGAAAAGAAAAAUUCAAAGCUACAGAGAGAAGGAGUCAAGGAGGCACCAGCUGUUGAAAGAAAAAGGGAUAACAGGCUAGUGAAGCUGUUGUCCUUUAAAUGUGAAAGACUUGUAGCACUGCAAACAACCACAGGAAAACCCGAAUCUGAGAGCCCCUACCUACCAAGGGAGCCAAGCAGAUGGAGGUCAUGGAGUCACACCCAGGCACGGCAGAAAAAACUGUUUUUUGCUGCAGCAGAGAUCUCCUGGCUCCUUCCCCAGCCUUUCAGAGCUGAGGACACAGAAAAAUCACCAUAAUCACCCCUCAUCCAUCCCUGCUGUCCUUCCUCUGCCUCUCCUCCUCCUCCUCCAACCUCUUCAUGCCUGGUUCAGGCAGGCAGCACCCAGAGCCUGAGUGUCAGUCCUGUUUCUCCAGCUCUUUGUUAACCUCUGUGUUUCACUUGGAGGGGAAAAAAAAAAUUAAAUAGAUUCCUUUGUGAAAUCUCUAGGAAAUAUUUGGCACUCACCGAGUCCCUUGCACUCGGUGUUUGUUUCUUCCUAAAGAGAGUAGUGACGCUGCUAUGACUUUUCUGCAAGCUGGAAGCAAAUGCUUAUCACCAUUCCCAGAAGGGGAAAAUAAAUUCCUUAGUAGCUUUGGGAGGUUUUAAGAAAUAAUUUUCCAAAAAGCUCAACUGAUUAACAGUGGUGCAAAGCUGGAAACCACAGACCAGGGCCCAGUUCGGGCCUGUGAAGGCCUCUGUGUAGCAGGGCUCAAUCUUAUCACCUGUCACCACCAUCUUAUCCUGUCACCACCUUCUUUCAACAGGCCACAUCUUCCCUAUCCUCCCUUCUACCCCAAAAAGGAAAUAAAAAUGUACAGUCCUUUCACUUUUGCUUAACUGCAGUAAAAUGGCCCUGCAAGUACCUGAAAGCCCCUUCACCCUACUGUAAAAGAGCUCUCAGCAAAAUGCAGGAAGUGGCUGGAUGAAGCCAUUAGCCAAGGAACACAGUGAGCAGGAAUCAAUAAGUCCGUGCCUCAAUCAUGAUGAACACAAUUUGCCUCAAAGGAACCACAGGACUAACUGUCCAUUGCACUGAGAGCACAGUGGUGCUCUGUGUCUCUGCACCUGCCUGCUGUAGUGAAACCCAGGCUGUGCAAGCCUGGUGUGGUGGCAGUAACUGGAACAGCACUGGGCCCUGGGGGGCAGUUUCAAAGCAGAAACUUGUUGCAGCAAAUGUAGGGACAUGACCAAAUUACUGCCUGGUUUUAUUCUCUUGUUUGUUGCUCUCUGGAAAUUCAUUCUCCGAGGACAAAGCUGACGUGUCAAACAGCGUGGGAGGGUGUGAAAAUUCAAAGUCUGGUUCAAAAGUGGCUGAAGUCUCCCUGUGACACUGGGAAAUGUAAUGCUGUGUCCAUAAUAUGCAGCACCACAUUUAUUUCUGAAGUUAACAGACACCCUUAGCCCGAGGCUGGAAAUUCACAUCUCCUGAACAUUUGGGGAAGGAUUUGCAGAGCUAAAACUUGAGGCAAGAGCACAUAAAAUUUGAUAACUUGCUGUUUAUUACUUCUGGUCAGCAUUCAAAAGAGACAAUAACAAAUAGUUUCAGAACAAAACAGUGAAUGCCUGUAAAAUAUAUUAAUAUUAUAAACACAGUAAAUAAAUAUUUAGAAUGCUGCAAGCAAUUCCAGGACACAAAGAAGCAGUAAACCACUGGGGUUGCUGAAGUCUCUCAUCAGACUGCUCUGAUCAGUUGCUCUGAACUUCAAAUAAGCCUGAAAAUAAUCAUCUUCAUGUUCUGCCAGAUGCAAAUAAACUGUCCUCUGAUUUCUGGUCAGCACCCAGAACACUAAGU